CCCUCGCCCCAUAAGUAAAAGGAGCCCGUACAAGAUCCCAAUCACUAUAGUUAUCAUUCCAAAGGUCAUCCAACACAAAUAGGAACUUUUUCUCCCUCACUUGUUCCCUAAGUUCAACUUGAAGCAAGCUAUCUUGAAGACUGCAAGGUUUUGAGAUAAUUGAUUCAAUAAGGGUUUUAGUUACCCUCAUAGCAUCAAAAUCAUCGGAAACACAGGCCCAAGCUGUAACAUCAAAAUGCUCUUUUAUAUUUUUAUCAUUGUAAAGGAGCUGAGCAAGGGUUGUCUUACCAACCCCACCCAUUCCCACUAUGGGGAUUACUGAUAUGUGGCUGCUACUUGCAUCAUCCAAUAGCAACAUUCUCUUCAACUUCUUUUUAUCUCCAUCCCUACCACAAGCACUAAAGUCAUGCUCAACAAAGGAUGUUGUGGGAGUUUUUUGAGAAACCUUCUCCUUAACGCCUCCUAUAAGACCAAGGAGAUCCUUUUGUUUCGCAAGAUGUUCCAACCUUUGGAAUAACUCUUGUAUCCUACCAUUCAUGCCUUGACAAAAAGGAUUAAAAGAAGUAGAGAGGAAGUUCCACACCUGGGACGUCUUUUUGGUUUGAUAUUCAUCAGCUUCCACCUUGCUUCGCAAAACUUCAGUAUCGAUCUCAGCCAGCAGGUCCUCGGCAUCGAAGACGGCAUGUUUGAGCUCGUCGAGCCACUUUCUCACACUAGGUUUCUCAAUUUGCUUCUCUUCUGCAUCAUCGAGCACUGCAUCGAGGGUCAGAAAAGUCAGCUUCAGUUUCUCCAAGAGUGAAUGGUCAAGCUUUUUUCCCCGUAAGAAGUCCAUGAACUCCCCAGAAGCAAUCUUGUCGCACAGCGUCUGAAUGGAAGCAGAGAGAAAAGCCUCUCCAAUCAAAGCUCCUGCCAUUUCUCUCUCUCUUUCUCUGUGUUUUUUUUUUUUUUUUAUCUUCAAAGAAGUGUUGAGGUGAGGAAGAAGAAGAGUCUUAUUAGCUUAAUUUCGUUUCGGAAAGAGACCCCACACGUUAAUCAAAGAGUCUUAUUACCUAUAAUUUAAGUGACAAUUUCAUAGUAGUCGGUUUGGUUGGUGUGAGAGUGCGGGUUGGGUGGCUAUUUUUUAGUUAUUAACCAUAACACCACUUUUGUUUGUUGAUAAUUUGAUAUUAAGCCGCGUUGGAAUUUUGCUUUUGGGCGGAUACAACACAGGAUCUUUAAAUUGAUCACCUAAUUAAUUAACAUUAAAAUUGUAAUCUUUUGUUGAUUAUGUUAUCAUGUCAUCAUGCAUGUGAAAAGAAGUCACACUGACCUGGUUAAUUAAUAUAUUGGAGUUAUAUUACAAGUUGUUAAACUCAAAAAUAGAUGGGAUCUCUUUUUUUUCAUCCCUUGCCAGGUCUUAUAAUUGGCUUGUAAAAUAGGAGAGCUUCAACUCGAGUCCAAGCAGGCAACAAUACAAAGCCUUUCAUCAAAAUUUUGUCAUCCAAGUGCACCUAGCAAUCCCUUCUUCUAGUUGUCCACCCAUUUUUCGAUUGGUUACCAAUUUCUUCUUUUGCAGUAUGUCGAGAUUAAAAUGAAUAAAAGUGAAUUAAAUUAGUAUCAUGCAUCGUACAAAGACAUACUCAGAACGAUAAUUACAAUAAAGGAUGUUAUCAAUACUUUGCUUCAACAUCAAACAACAAAUCUAUCGUUGGAAACAAAUAACAAGAUAAUGCAUUUACGGAUCAUAUUUUUUUAGAGUUUAUUGCCUUCAUCGUGAGAUGAUGACUCCGAUUUCUAUUAAUUUUGAGCAAUAUAGAUAUUCUGAAUAUCUGAUGAAUGAAAAAAAUGGAAUGCCAAAAAUAGCAAUGUACCGAGACUUAUAAAACACCAAAGUUUUAAAUAUGAAUAUUAAAAAGAUACUUAUGAUAAAAAGAAUUUUUGGCAUUUUAGCUAAAAUGAUCCCUAAGAUUGAUAUAACUCAUCACUUUUGGUCUCCGAGAUUUGAAAUUAAUAGAGGUGAUCCUUGAGUUUGACUACCAUCAAUCAUUUUGUUCAUUCUGUAAAAAAAAAAAUGUUACAUAAGGACCAAAAUGACAAAAAAAAAACCCUUAAUUUAAUAAAAUAUGGCCCAAAAUGAUUUUGGCAAAAUUAAGAUCAUUUUUAUCAUUUUAUCCUUAUUUAACAGAGAUUUUUCGCAGAAUAGUCAAAAUGGUUGAUGGUGAAUAAACUCAGCUCAGGACCAAUUCUAUUAAUUUUAAAUCUCAAAACUAAAUUGAAAAGUUAUAACAAUCUCAACUUCAACUUCUCCAUGAGUGAAUGGUAAGUUAUUUCUGCCGGAACAAGUCCAUAAACUCGUCAGAAGCAAUCUUGUCGCACAGCCUCUGGAUGGAAGAGGAGAGAAAAACCUCUCCAAUCAAAGCUCUUGCCAUUUCUCUUCCCCUCUCUCUGGUUUUUUUUUUUUUUUUUGUACUUCAAAGAAGUGUUGAGGUGAGGAGGUGAGGGGGUGAGGAGGUGAGGAGGUGAGGAAGAACAAGAGAUGACUUGAUACACUUUUGGUCAAUAAUUGAGUGGACCCCACACGUUAAUCAUAGAGUCUACUUUUUAUUUUUUUAACAUAUCAUAGAGUCUUAACAAUUUCCUAAUAGUUGGUGUGAGAGUGACAGAGUGGGUUAGUUGGUGUGAGAGUGACAGAGUGGGUUGUGGGAAUUGGAUAAGGAUUAUUUGCCCUCCACUUCCGGUGUUCUUCCGUGCCCUCUUGUUUGUGUGGUCACGGUUAAGCCAUGUCAACAUUUUAUAUUACUAUUUAUUUUUGUCUUAUUAUCUCUAUAAAAAAACAAUAUAAAAUAUUAAUGUGGCUUAACCGUGACUACACAAACCAAGAGGACACCGCAAGUGGAAGGGCAGACAAUCCUUGUCCCACUGAAAUUCACUCGGACAAGGAUUGUCUGCCCUCCCACUUCCGGUGACCUUCCGUGCCCUCCUGUUUUGUGUGGUCACGGUUAAGCCACGUCAACAUUUUAUAUUGAUUUUUUAUAGAGAUAAUAAGACAAAAAUAAAUAGUAAUAUAAAAUGUUGACGUGACUUAACCGUGACCAUAUAAACAGGAGGGCACAGAAGGGUACCGCAAGUGGAAGGGCAGACAAUCCUUGUCCAUUUCAGUGGACCUCACACGUUAAUCAUGCAUGUAAGUAGCAUCACAUUGACUUAGUUAAUUAAUAGAUUGCAAUUGGACUAUAAAAAUAGGAACAAUUUUUCUUUAUAUCCGGAACACGAGUGGUAUAGUGCAUGUAAUUAUAUAAGUGAAUGAAAAUUUUAUUUUUUAAGUUGUUAAUCUUUUAAUAUAAGUAUCCCACAACUUGUAUAGUGAUACAUGAUGUACCACUCCGUGUUCUGAUCGCACUGAAAAAUUCUCUCCAAAAUAGAAGGGCUCUCUAUUUUUACUCCAUUUGCCAGGAUAUAUUUUUCAUUGUGAUCAACACACGAGUGGUAUACCACGUGUUUUAUAUAAACGAUGAGAAAUUUUACUUUUUAAGUUAUUAACUUUUUAACACACAUAUCUCACCACUUAUAUAGUGACAAGUGGUGUAUUAACCCGUGUUCUGUCACUAAAAAAUCUCUCCCUUGCCAGGUCUAUGGGGAGAUCAAAGCUUCUACGCCCAAAAUGGGCGUGGUCUCUCUGUACCUCAAAUUAUUGUUUGACACACAUUAAGUCUAUAAAAACAAAGUUAAAAAAAAAAAUAAGUUUACAAACAAAUAUCAGUCAAUAAUUGGAGCCAAAGAGAGACUACACUCAUCUUAGAUACAGAAAAUUUGAUCACGUUCUAGAGAUGUCAAUGGGUUGUAAAAGGAGUAUGAUAUUCACACACUUUUUUUUACUUCUCACAUACCUUUUAUUAAUUUAUGUCAUUUGAUUUCCUUCAAUUCAUCCAAUCUGACAACCUAAAAUUAAGAAAACAUGUGAUAAGUAAAAAGAAGUGUAUAAACAGUAUAUUCCGCCGUAAUAGGGGAACUUCAACUCGAUUCUAAGCAGGCAACAAAACAUUGUCUUUCAUCAAAAUUUUGUCCUCGAAGUGCGCACCCUAGCAAUCCCUUCUGGUUGUCCACCCAUGACCCAUCCUUUUCAAUUGGGACAAGGAUUGUCUGCCCUCCCACUUCAGGUGCCCUCCCGUGCUCUCCUGUUUGUGUGGUCACGGUUAAGUUAUGUCAACAUUUUAUAUUACUAUUCAUUUUUGUCUUAUUAUCUCUAUAAAAAAUAAUAUAAAAUAUUGACGUGGCUUAACCGUGACCACACAAAACAGGAGAGCACGAGAGGGCACCGGAAGUGGGAGGGCAGACAACCCUUGUCCUUUCAAUUGGUUACUAAUUUCCUCUUUUGCAGCCCGUUGAGAUUAAAAUGAAUAAAAAUGAAUUAAAUUAGUAUCACUUGUCAUAUAUAUGUGUUCACGCUCAGAAUGAUAAUUACAACGAGCAAAAUAAUAUGCGUCAACCUCAAACAACAAACAUAUCAUUAAGAAUAAACAGCAAGAUCUUGCAUCUAUGAAUCAUAAUUUUUAGAGUUUACUACCUUCUUCGUGAGAUGACUCCAAGUUCUAUUAAUUUUGAGCAACAUAGAUAUUAUGAUGGAUGAAAAAAAUGAAGGCUUUAAUGUUCCGUGACUUAUGAAACACCCAACUUUAAACAUGAAAAUCUGAAAGAUAUUUCUCUAAAAACAAUUUAAUUUAAAGAAAACUUAGAAGGCCUCACUAUAAACAUAAACGAUCUGGGAGGGAAGAAACAUUCGGGAAGAGGGAGAGCGAGUUUAGAGAUGUGGUUUUGUGGCGCUUGGUACUUGGAGUGAGACGGAACAGGUUCAUCUCACAUUUGGUGCGACAAAAAAAACGUAAGACUCACCUAUCCUUAGAAUGAAUUUUAGUUUAAUUUUUGUACCACACUCCCUCAUGAAAAGUACUUAUUCCACUCCAUGGAACGAACUUAUUUCACCCCUUGAAACACAAAAAUACCCCUGCUGUUUUUCAAUAAUUCUACUACCAAAUCAUAAAAACAAACCCUAAUCUUGUGUCUUUCUUCUUUCCUAGUAGCCUCUCUCUCUCUCCUCGUCUUCUCGGCGGAGAGGCUCCAUUCUCUGCUUCGUUCAUUACCUCUCUCUUCUCUCGUCGCAGCAUCUCAAUAUCUUCCCGCUUUGAUUUAAUUGUCAGUUUUUCUGAGUUGGUUGUGAUUUUCCUCAUUCAAUUAACCAUGGUUUUUUUAUGUGUAGAAGUGGAAAACCCUAGAAAUUUAUGGGUUUUCACUGAAAUUGAUUUUCCGUACCACAAGGUUUGUACUGUUUGGGGUUAAGGGUGUAAUUUAGAGGUAUUCAUCCAUUUCUGUGUUUAUGUUUAUGCAACUAUUGGCUGGGAAAAUGAAUCGUUUCUUAAUUUUUCCUUCUCAUAAGCUUAAGGGAAUAUGGCUGCUGUGAUGAAUGUGAAAUAAUUACCCAGAAAUACAUUAUUACCCAGAAGAACCUAAUGAACUUCUUCAUUACCAACAAAUAUUAAUAUUCAUUAAGUGUCAUUGUCACAAAUAUAUCAUAAAAUAAGCAAGGAUAUGUUGGCCUUUUAAUUUUUUUGUUCUUUUCCGCCUGAGCGUAACAAACGCGAAACAUAACAAUUGACUCAUUUCAGCAUGUAUGUACCAGACGUAUAUUCGAACCUCUGCUGCAUCCUAUUUUGUCCCGUCUACACAUCAAAUGCUACCUUAAUUCUUUUUAAAUUUGAAUUUUUAUUUUUUUAAUCUUAUUUUAUUUUCUAUGAUUUUAAAUGCCCAUAAACUAACUGAACAGUGGAGCAAAAGUGGAGAGAUUUCACCUGAAAAUUGUAGUAAUGACCUCUCAACUUUAACUCAAUUGAAACCAAGGUAUUAAAUAUCGGUAAUAUAGGAAAUAUCGGUAGUCCGAAAACACGGAAAUAUCGACGGAAAUAUCGAUAAAAUAUCGAUAUCGAUAAAAUUACAUGUAAACCACGGAAAUUGUAAGAAAAACUUGGAAAUUUUUAUUGAAACUUUGCAGGAUGUUUAUUUAGUCAAUUAUCUAUUAGUUUAUCACAAAAAAUUGGAAGGAAAUGCAUUGCAUGAUGGAUUUAACAUUAUCAAGUUGAUUAUAUAGCGAGCUGACAAACAUUGUGAGUGUAGAAAAUAUGUAGUAAUUAAUCAUUUAUAUAUGUAGUAAUUAAUGAAAGAAGUUUAAACACACCAUAAUCAUUUAUAUAUAAUGAAUUAGUACAAUAUUUUACACUUUAUAUAUUGCAUGGUAAGAUACAUGAGUGACUUAUUCUUAUAACGGGUACAUAUCAAUUUUUUUUUAUAAAAAUUAAUGGGUACAAACUUAUUCUUAUUUUAUUUUUUAUAUAUUUGAAAUGUUUGAAUUGAAAAUUAAUUAGGAGUUUAAUAAGGAUGUGAGUAUUAAAACUCUAAAUAAAUUACUAAUUUUUGUUAUGAAAGUUAUGUAACUUACAUGUAAUUCAUUAAUGCUAGAGACUUUGAUCAAAAUAUAAAAACUGAUAAGAUCUUAGUAAAUGAACAUUAGAAACUAGGGAUCGGAUACUAAUUUUUCUUUAUUUUUUUUAAAAUAAUAAUAAUUUGGUUAAUCACAUUUUACAUCAUCUAGUUUCGAGAAAAAAGAAAACUGUUUGGUCAAUUUUGAAAGCCAUAUCAAAAUUUUGAGUGAUAUUUUUAUCCAACGUGUUAAUACAAAAUCAUAUAGGCAUAGUACAUGAUUAUGUUUUGGUAAUCGAAGACGCCAAAAUGAGAUGAACGGUUCUACUUAGGUAAUUAUAGGUUUUUAAUUACAUUGAUGAUGUAGUAAAUAUAAGACUGACGUAGAAACGUCACUUCCACCAUUUAGACUAAAUUGUAUGAUUGGUUUUCCUUUCAUGUUACUAAUUUGAAUAGAAGCCAAAGCUCUACGAUGACGAGUUUUUGUUCAUAUGUGCUAGUUUGGUUUCCCUCGUUAGCCCACAAAUAAAUCGAAUGAUAAAAUGUAAAAAGAAUAUCCAACCAAUCUAAAAUUUAAAAAUACAUUAAGUCAUAUAACUUAAGAUAUUUUGAAUGGUUAUAUUUAACUUUUUAAAAUUAAAAGUAAAAAUCAUGGUUGGGUGGGUGGUUGAAAUUGAAACUUUGAAAAGGUGCAGCAUGCUUCCCCAUUUCAGCACCACGUGUGUGGUGUGACCUCCCCUCCAUCCCGAUUCCCCAUCCUUCACAUCUAUCUUAUCUCUCAGUCCUCUCUUUCUCUCCACUUUCCAGGCUCUCCCUCUCUCUGCUUCUCUCCCUCAGUUUCUUCUUCUCUGCAACACACGCACAGACCACACACGCACACACCACACACGCAGUCUCUCAUUCUCUCCCUCAGUCUCUCCGUCGUCCGUCCAUCCUUCUCCCUCAGCCUCGAUCUCGAUCCUUCUCUCCCUCAGUCUCUCCGUCCGUCUAUCCUUCUCCCUCAGCCUCGAUCUCGAUCCUUCUCCCUCAGUCUCUCCGUCCAUCCUUCUCCCUCAGUCUCUCCAUCCUUCUUCUUCUCCCUCAGUCUCUCGAUCCUUCUCCGGUUCUCCCCCCCCAUCAAAUCCGAGCGGGUUUUGGGAUCCGAAGAAAGGGAUUGCUCAUUUUCAGGGUCUGAGCGUGGAUUGCUCAUUUUCGGCUGCCAUUGCGACGACGACGGAGGAUCCUCGGUGAUAUUAUGGCUAAUAUCGCGAUAAUAUCGCUAAUAUCGCGAUAUUAUCGAUAUUAGCGAUAUUAUCGCGAUAUUAUUACGAUACUUAACUGUAAACGUUGAAAAUAUCGUUAUAUGAAAAUAACGAUAUUAUCGGCGAUAUUUCGUCGAUAAUAUCGAUAUUUAAAUCCUUGAUUGAAACAAUGAUUAUUCAACUAAAAAUUCCUAACCAUUGGUCACUUUACUUAACAAAACGUGCAACUAUGGACAUUUUCAACAACUCCGUCAGGACUUUCGUCAAAAUGAGACUAAAUCAAGGGGCAAAUAUGAAAAAUCAAAUGAGAAAAAUUACAGCAAUGAUCCCUCAAUUUUAACCCAAUUGUAGCAAAGGUUCUUCCAACAUGACUUAUUUUGACGGAGUUUAUAAAAAUGAUCAUAGAUGCAUGUUUUGAUAAGUAAAAAUGACUAAUGAUUAUGAAUUUUUAGUUACGGAACUAUUCCUCCAACUAAAUUUAAGUUAUAUUACUACAAUUUCUCUUAGCAGCAAUGGGGGUAUUUAGCCAUAAAUAAAAGUAUAUAAUUAAAUUUCAAGGGAAAAUUCGACAAAUAGUUAAAACGAAACUAAAAAUCAGAGUUGAAAGUAUAACUUCAAACACAUUAUUUGGUUUUAACGAAAAACAAGUCUAAUUGAAGCAAAAGAAAUGCAUCCCGCCACUAAUCACCGCGCCUUCUCUCUCUGUCUAUCUCUGAGUUGCCAUAGCAUCGACCACCCAAGAAAACCGUACGUCUCCAGGUGCCUCACUCCGCAUUCAAAUGUGAAGCAUUACUACGGUUUCAUUUCAGCAGGGCGUCUUUGGAGUGUUGCAAUUUUCAAAGUAUAAACUUUUCCCUUAUCAUCCCACUUCCCCCAUUCUCAAAUUUGCCAUAUUUUCCUUAUCUUCAACGCCUUUGUCCUUUUCGCAGAAAGCCCGUCGCCGAUUGAUUCAAUCCGUAGCAGAUUUUGGCGCGAAGAAGCUCCAUUGAUCCCGAAUACACAAAUGUGUUGGAGCAAUGAAUAGGGCACCUCAUAUGAGGCAAGAGUAAGAGGAACAAAGAAAUAGCCUUUUUACUUUGCAUUAUAUUCCCGUUGCUUCCAUUAUUAUUUAUUCGGAAUUCGGGUAUGUGCAGUCGUCCCAAUCUGGGUCAAGAUUUAUGUGCCCAGACGCCUGUUAAAGCUAAUUUGUUGGAGCAUGUCAAUGCACUUGAUAAUUUCUCGUGCCCGCAUAGUGUUCUGAGUUCAAAUUUUAUUUUUUCCUCACCAACACAAAAACCUCUGGCCGAAGAGGCAAUGGUUUCCGGGUAUGUCGUGGUUAUACGUGUUUUGACACAGGACAGAACACAAUGGCGUUCUAAGAUUCAUAUAGCCGAUCCCACUCAGUGACUUAGAUUUUCCAAGUCUCCAACCGAGAAGUUUUCCUCCCUCGGGAAAUUAAGGGAACACUACCUCAACCUACAUGCUCCACUCACAAAGCUUCAACAAAAGAAAAUUCAAAGAACUUAGCGAAGAAGGUUUUGGUGUAUUUAACACAAUACGUUGAAAUGAAGGAAAGCUUAUUUAUUGAUAUCCCCGAUAAGUUACAAAUAUGUACAUAUACUUGAGUCAAAAUAAACAAACAAGAGGGAGCCUUCACAAAGGUUGCUUAGGAGAAGUCUCAGCAGUCGGUAGAGCCCCAGAAAGAGAAGGCACCGGAGGAGGAUCAUUCGGAGCCUCAGUACUGGACAAAACCCUAGAAGGAGGAGGCAUCAGAGGUUGAUCAUUUGGAGCUUCAUUACGCGGUACAGCCCUAGAAGACGAAGGCAAUAAAUGCCUUUGGAACAAACCCACAAAUUUCUGAUGAUCAAGUAAAACCUGACCAUCAGAUUCCUUCAUCUGGUCAAGCUUCCUCUUCAUGUUUGUAGCAUAGUCAUGUGCGAGCCGGUGCAACUGUUUAUUCUCAUGCUUGAGCCCUCUAAUCUCCUGUUUGAGACUCAUCACUUCAGCCGCCAAUGAUUCAACUUGGCGGGUUCGAGCAAAUAGGCGUUGGGCCAUAUUAGACACAGAACCUGCACACUGAACACUGAGAGCCAGAGAAUCCUUAACAGCCAACUCAUCAGACCGUUUGGAAAGUAGUCUGUUAUCUUUAGGAGUGAGAAGGUUCCUGGCCACUACCGCAGCGGUCAUAUCAUUCUUCAUCACGGAAUCCCCAACGGUAAGAGGACUAGUAGGGGAGACGAAGGAUGGGCGCCAUAUGUUGUCUGGAGAAGGCGGGGCUGCCUCUUCAACAAGGUUCAAGUCAAAACAACGGUCGGAGGGGCCAGACAUUUUCAAAGGUGUUGAAGAGAGAAGAGGUCGGACAAAUCAAGAUCUUAGAAGUGCAAGAAUGGAGCUUCUACUGGUGGAUAUUCAAGUAUGCUUUGGAACUUAAUGUCAGCCCCUAUAAAAAUCUGCACUCGACGAAGCUUCAGAAAUCGAAGAGGCGCCUGCUCAGAAAUCAAAGAGGCGUUUGCUUUCUCAAAAGCUGGGCUGCUCAGAGACCACGAGGGUCGAUCUCAGAAAUCGAAGAGGCGUUUUCUUUCUCGAAAGCUGGGCUGCUCAAAGACCACGAAGGCCGAUCUCAGAAAUCGAAGAGGCUUGCUUUCUCAAAAGCUGGGCUGCUCAGAGACCACGAGGGCCGAUCUCAGAAAUCGAAGAGGCACCUACUUUUCCAGCCUUGCAGCACCUGUCACACGCACACUCAGCUUUGCGGAAAUUAUGGGCAUUCUGUCGAAGAUUUCUGGCGAAAUAGAAAGCACAUGAAUCGUACUGUUCAAUCACCCACUUCCCACACGCAACAGUAACUCAUAGGUACCACAGAUAACUUUGCCAAAGUUCUCUGACAAAGUUGAGACACGUGAAGCUUGCAGCUCCCGCUACAUCGCUCUGACCAAGAAGGGUAAAAGAAUUGCAAAGAAACAACACUAACAAAGUUUAGACACAUAAAUUUUGAAGGUCUAGCUACCAUAUUAUUACCCACAAGGGUAAAGGAACAGUACCACUGCUGGAUAAUUGGAAAGUCCCGGUGUGUCAACCUCUGUGCUUCGUGGCAAGGUAGACUAGCAAACAUGCCCAACCUUUACUCACAUUCGAGAAAACACUCCCAACAGGAUUGCUUGCUCCAAAAUCGAAGAGGCACCGCCCUCCGAAUCUCGAGAGCCAGACUCCCAACAUGAUUACUUUCUCAAAAAUCGAAGAGAGGGUAAAAGAACAGUACCACUGCUGGAUAAUUGGAAAGUCCCUGUGUGUCAACCUUUGUGCUUCGUGGCAAGGUAGACUAGCAAACAUGCCCAACCUUUACUCACAUUCGAGAAAACACUCCCAACAAGAUUGCUUGCUCCAAAAUCGAAGAGGCACCGCCCUCCGAAUCUCGAGAGCCAGACUCCCAACAUGAUUACUUUCUCAAAAAUUGAAGAGAGGGUAAAGGAACAGUACCACUGCUGGAUAAUUGGAAAGUCCCUGUGUGUCAAUCUCUGUGCUUCGUGGCAAGGUAGACUAGCAAACAUGCCCAACCUUUACUCACAUUCGAGAAAACACUCCCAAUAAGAUUGCUUGCUCCAAAAUCGAAGAGGCACCGCCCUCCGAAUCUCGAGAGCUAGACUCCCAACAUGAUUACUUUCUCAAAAAUCGAAGAGACACCGCUCUCCGAAUCUCGAGAGCCAGACCCCCAGCAGGAUUGCUUUCUCAAAAAUCGAAGAGGCAUCGUUCUCCGAAUCUCGAGAGCCAGAUCCCCGACAGGAGUGCUUGUUCGAAAACCGAAGAGGCACCACUUUCCCAACUUCAAGAGCUGGAUCUCCUUGGAUAAAGCUUGUCUGUAAUCUUCACACGCAACAUCAGCUUUCCAGAUACCACAGACGACUUUUUCAAAGUGCUCUGACAGAGUUAAAACAUGUGAAGCUGGCAGCUCCCACUACCGUGCUAUAACCAAGCAGGGUAAAGGAAUAACAUUAUUACUUGAUGUUAGGGAGACUCCUAUAUAUGUCGACCUCCAUCCCUAACGGACAGUCAGACCUGCAAAAAUGCUCAACCCUUUCUCUUAUCUGAGAGAGCACUCCCAACGAAGCCUUUCGAAAUAUUCAGCUUUCUUUCCCCCCGAUAAUACCUCUGUAAACAAGCUAUACUAGAGCAAGAAUAUAUCAUAUCAUCAGGGUUAAAAGCAAGAGUAUCCCAUAUCAUGCUUUUUCCCUGUCUUUUCCUUUGGCCUUGUUCUUACCUGCAAGACAAGGAGAAAGAGAGCAAUCAGUCAGCACUUGGAAUCAAGCUUCCAGCCAGGAACUGACUGCCUGGAACCCCUUACCUGAUUACUUACCUGGCAUUGCUCUCGAGUACUCAUCUUCAACAUCUUAUGCUUCCAGGGAAGAUACCGCAUCUGCCUGAGGAACAGAUAGGGCAAGUGAGAAGGAUACAAGGAAGCAUGUGGAGACAAGCGUAACAGCACACGUGCCGAUACAUCCACUACUCUGUCAAAAGCAAAAGUAUCCCAUAUCAGCAGGGUCGAACGUACUCUAGAUUUGAUGGACUUGUUUUGACCCUCAAAUUCCUUAGUCGGCCUUAUACUCUGGAGGAAACCAGAAAACCCUCCAGCCCGGUUCAAGAAUAAGCAUGUGGAAAGUUACUUCUUCAAAAGCAAAAGUAUCCCAUAUCAUCUCUUCUCAUUUUUCUUCUCUUUAUCCUUCAUGUUGCCUGCAAGAUAGGGAGAAUGUGAACAAUCAGCCGGAGCUCUGAUUGCUUACCUUGUCUGUCACAUCUUUCAGCAGAUCCCCUAGCCCGGCGACUUGGGGGACUCCUACUACAUGGUUUGUAUCGCGUUUGACCAAGCCUGAAACUACAAGUAAGCUUCAAGUGAAAUUGAUACAUUACCUUGUGCAUCUCCACCAGUUACAGAUACCACCCCUGGAUGGAGGAAGAGUACUUCCAGAGAAGAUGCCACAUCUACCUAUGAGACAGAUAAGGCAAGUCAAGACGAUACCACACUCCGGUACUUAGAAGUUUCGUGGUUACGAGAUCAUUCUCCCACAAUAUUUCCUAAUGUCAUUUGUACUAAAUCAUUCACUUGUACUCACUAAAGGAGAGCUCACUAAAGGAGAGCUUGAACCUAUGUACUUGUGUAAACCCUUCACAAUUAAUGAGAACUCCUCUAUUCCGUGGACGUAGCCAAUUUGGGUGAACCACGUACAUCUUGUGUUUGCUUUCCUAUCUCUAUCCAUUUAUAUACUUAUCGACAUUAAUGACCGGAGCAAUCUAGCGAAGAUCACAAAAAGUGACCGUUUUCGCUACCUAGGAUCUAUCUUGCAAGAGAACGGAGAAUUAGAUGGAGAUCUCAACCAUAGAAUACAAGCUGGAUGGAUGAGGUGUAAGAGUGCAUCCGGCGUGUUGUGUGACCGUCGUAGGCCACUGAAGCUCAAGGGAAAAUUUUAUAGGACGACAAUAAGGCCAGCGAUGUUGUAUGGCACAGAAUGUUGGGCGGUGAAGCAUCAACACGUACACAAAAUGGGUGUAGCGGAGAUGAGGAUGCUUCGUGGGAUGUAUGGGCACACGAGAAAGGAUAAGAUUGGGAAUGAGGAUAUCCGAGGUAAAGUAGGAGUAGCCAAAAUUGAAGGAAAUAUGAGAGAAAAUCGGUUCCGGUGGUUCGAACAUGUGCAAAGAAGGCCUACUGACGCUCCGGUUCGAAAAUGUGACUACGGGACAGAGGUUCAGGGCCGAAGGGGUAGAGGAAGACCUAGGAAAACUUUGGAAGAGACCUUAAGAAAAGACUUGAGUACUUGGAUCUAACGGAGGACAUGACACAAAACCGAGCGCAAUGGCGUUCAAGGAUUCAUAUAGCCGACCCCACUUAGUGGGAAAAGGCUUUGUUGUUGUUGUUGUUGUUGUACUGUUAUUUCAUUUCAUCUUGUGGAUUACUUGUUAUUUGGUGACAACUUGACAUUAGUUUAUGUAUUUGGUGAUUGUGGUCUUUUGCUUGGGUAAGAUAUAGCUCUUGUGUUUGUGUUAUUUACAUGAUUUAUUUUUUGUUUCAGCUAAUUUUAAGUUUCAUCUACCUUAGCGAUCAGGGCCUGUUAUGAGAUUUUAGGGGUAUGGGUCCCUGUGUAAAAGAAUCCCACUAUAGCGAAGCUAAUUUAUAUGUCUAUAGUUGUAUUAAUGUGGUAUCUAAAUGGAGUAUUAUUACUCGUGAGUUAUAGUUCAAAUCAACAGUAAUCAUGAACGUAAAACACAAUUUAGAGCUAAGCCAUCAGAACCAAACUAAGAAACAUAAAAGUGAUUCCUCUAAUACAGAUGGAGGCCAUUAUUCUCUUAUUCACAUACAAAUCCUAAAAAAUUUCCCUAAGAUGAAUUCUUUUUACGGAAACCAAGUUGGUACAUAUAUACAUAUGCUAUCAUCAUUUAGGAACCCCUUAAGAUUGGGGGCCCUGUGCAAGGGCACCUAUUGCACAUACCCAAGACCACCACUGCAAUCCAUUCCCAAAUAUUAAUAUCUGUCCCAAAUAUUAAUGUAGGCAAAAUUCAUGCCUCUGCAAUCCAUUCCCAAGAUGAGAAUCGUUUCCAGAAAAAAAAAAAUGAUCUGAAUUACAUCGGGGUUGUUGAAUCUCUUUCUAAAAUUUCUUAGUAACGAACUGUUUCAAGUUGCUUUACAUAUUGAAAAACUCUGCUAGAAGUAUUACAUCUUGGUUUCUAUCCAUGAACCCUUUUCUUUGGUUACAUUAAGUGCUAAACUCAAUAUCUGCAGUUCAUGGUAGAACAUGAUAUUCGUUUUCUUUUUCCCCUCUCUCCUAGAAAUACCGAACAAGCCAUCUAAGAAAUAGCUAUCAACAAUUUUAUUAAUGUAAUUUUUUUUACUGGAACUGAAAAUAGUCAUUGUCACAAAUGCUAACGGGUUUAUUGUGCUUCAAGAAGCUCCACACAUGCAUUUCUGAAGUUUUCUAUUAUAGAUAGUACUUGCAUUUGUAUAUGCUAAUCUUUGCAACUUCAAUACAAUUUGACAGUGCCAUUUUUUAAGUCGCAAAGGCUGCAUCGUUUUGGUUAUGUUUGAUGGCAAUCUCACAGCCGCGAUCGCUCCACGCUUUGUUGUUAAGUUUUUGUAUCAGUAUUGUAGACCUUGUGAUGUUCAGAUUGCAAGAGAAUUCGAGAAGUUUGGCAAUCCAAGAGCGUCCCCUGCACAAAUAGAAAUGGAUGCGAUCUUGGACCCGCCGACGAGAUGAGCAGGUGAUGUUAUUGCUUUCGACAUCUCCUUCUUUUUGUAUCUUUUUUAAAAAUGUUAUUCUUUAGGCUGCUUCAGAGUAUCUCUCUUCUAGUUGCCUCAUUGUUCAUUGUUUGCUAUCCGAAGGAUAGGAUUUGUAACUUUGUAGUGCUAGCCUUAUAUUUUGUGUUCAUCUUUUGUUUUAUUGUACCUUAAGAUUCAUUCGGUGUAAUUAGAUUUGUUUAAAGAGAAGAAUUAGACAAUCGAUACAAUACAUGAAUUUUACCACAUAAGUUUGGAUUGUGUUCAGAUUGAAUCCUUCAUACCAACUUGAAGUCGACCAAAAAGUACAGGGGUUUCAAACAGAUCCUACAUCCUGCCUCAGGUCUCCUCUCGUCUCCUUUCAUUCAGCGACUUGGGAGAUAAAAAAAUAAUAUACAAAUUAUGUGGGAGGUUUACCAUUAAAUAUUACUGUGGCAUUCUGUGAUAAAGUUUACACCAAGUAAUAGAUGGUUAAGUGAGGACAAUAUUGGUUAAGUGAGGACAAUAUCAGUGAAUGAAUGAGAUCAUAAGCAACACCUAGUAAUGAUAGGCCUAAAAAGUGUCAUGGUAUCACUAUCAAAACAUGUUAUUCUUCUGACACGAAAAGUUGUGUUUGCUCCGGCAUAAUAAAUGAGUUAAUGGUUUUGUUAUCCCACCCCUAGGAAAUAACCAGUAGUGUUACGUACUAUGCUAUGCAAGUCUUAAAUCUUUAAAGAAAGAAUUCAACCAUCAACUGCCACAUCAUGCGGUCAACAACAUAUGGUUCAAAAAACAGCCAUAAUCGGUAAUGUUACGUACUAUGUUAUGCAAGUCUUAAAUCAUUAAAGAAAAAAUCCAACCAUCAACUGUCACAUCAUGCAGCCAACAACAUAUGGUUCAAAAACAAUCUCCCUAGCAUUUUCCUUAAAAUUUUAGUUUGUCAACCAAAAAGUGAUUAAAUUUUUAGUUUUACAUGCUAGCGGAAUACACGUAACAUAAGUAAAACUGAAAAGAUUAAAACGUGAAGGUAAGUGAGAAGGUUGUAAGCACUCCCAUUUGUAUUUAAUCAAAGCUCAAUAACAAUUUCAUAUCCUAAAACAGGUCUAAUGAAACAAUUAUUCUUUGAAGAACCGCCAAGCAAACGAUGAGUGCAGAACCCUGUGUCCUAAUGCACCAAACAACGGGCUUCGUACUAUUAGUCAUAUCCUGUACUCUAUGCGGCGUGCCAAACGAGACCAUGGUGUGCUAAUUCAUGGAGAGCACCAUACAUCGGAGUAGGGCAUUGCAACAAAGUGACCCAAUUUCUCGCUUCAUAUUUUUACAUUGUGCAGUAUUCAUGACCAGGAUGGAGAUACAUCCUUCCCCGAGGAAAUCUGUUGCCACAAACGCAAGCCACGCCACCUAGUCUAGGAAACGUAAUGUACAGGUAUUCAAGCAAGCACUGCCAUGAGGCAGCACGCAACGAACCCACACUCUUCACCGUAUCCGCACUGUGUCUACCUGAAGAUUAAAGUGAAAGCGAAAGAUGAGAAAAUCAUGCCGCCGUAUUCAAUCACACCAGUAUGUGAAAACCAUCAUCCUGCGGUGGAGUUACCUUUUCGAUGCAGGACAAUCAUAUUCAAGCCGGAUAGGCAGAGCCACAGAGCGGAAUUCAAGGACUACCACUUGUCGUAAUUUUGGUUGCCUCAGAUAGCCAUGUCUUUACAUUUCCACAGAAUGCACAGAAAUAAGUCACUCCCAUCACAAACUGUCCAGGCGUUGUCGGAAGACAGAUUCCGCUUGGGAGUUUUCAAUUUAAAAAAAACUAGAGUAAAAAGAAACAAGAAAAUAAAAAAUGAGAUUUCGAGUGAAUUGGAAGUUCAGGAAUGUUUUAGCACCCAAAAAAAGGGUGCACAAAAUCAAUUAAAGCAAGUUUUGAGCAACCUUUUUAAUCAAAUAUAUAAUAGAACAAAAGUAGGAAUUACCUCUAAAAGUUUCACUGAACUUCAAAAAUUGAAGAGCAUUUCCCAUAUCCUCAGCAGCUAAUGGUGGCCUGACGUAGGGGAAGCUCAAGAUCAACCUCUCUGCUCUCAAUGCGGCGUUCCUUGACCCUGCGACACCCUCCUGCAGUCUUGCCCUUGCUCUUGCCCUUGGCAUUAUUCUUAUUCACAGCAGCAGCACCAUCUCUGCUGCAUUACAAGUUUCCAUCAACCCGUCCUGCUUUGCCGCAUCCCAGUACUUCACAUCAUUGCUCUGAUCAAGGGCGUUCUCCUUCCCUCGUUUGCUAGGUGAAUCAACACACAUUGCCUACCAAAACUUGAGACCAUAAGCCCUCCUAAACAGAAUUAAAACCAACCAAAAACAAUAUCAAUAUGCAUUCUCAAAGAAAAAACUAUAAUCAAUAGCACCAUCUCUGCUGCCAAAAUCAACCUCUUGAGUCUCAAUAGUCCCGGGCCAUUCCUUUACUUUAUGAUGUUUUCUGAACGCCUUGGCAUUGACAUCCUUAUUGCUCACAGCAGCAGCACCAUAUCUGCCGCCAUUACAAAUUUCCAUCAACUCUUCCUGCUUUGUUUUCAUAGUUUCCGGCUCAUCAGAUUCAGAGAUGCAUCCAAGUUCAUAUCUUUGUUUCCACCAAGAGACUUCUCCUUCCCUCGUUUUCUUGGUGAACCAACACCGGUUACCUAUCAAAACUCGAGGGCAUAAACCCAUGCGAUAGCCACAACAGGAUUCAACGACUAGUCAUUCAUUUAAACAAACACGUGUUGCUUUUGGAUGAUGUUGUUCUGAAAUAUAAAGAAGCAUAUUUUUUAAAGGGUAGCGUAGUUGAAUUAAACAAUUAGAAACUCACAGUAUAGAUGACAGUAAACAAUUGAAGAGACUUUUACAGAAUCUGAAUCUUGGCUAUGGAAUGAAAUCUGUUGCUACAACAGAAGGCCACCUAGUCUAGUAAACGUAAUGUACAGGUAUUCAAGCCAUCUCUAUACAUUACCAGAAAGCACAGCCAUGAGGCAACACGCAACGAACCCACACACUCUUCACCACAUCCGUGCUGUGUCCACCUGAAGAUAAAAGUUUAAUUGAAAGAUGAGGAAAUCAUGCACCAUGUUCAAACCACACCAGCAUGUGAAAACCAUCAUACUCAGGUGGGGUUACCUUUUCCGAUGCAGGAGAAUCAUGUUCAUGCCGGAUGGGCAGAGGCAGAGCCACUGAGUGGCAUUCAAGGACUACAACUUGUCGUAAUUUUGGUUUCCUCAGAUAAUCAUGUCUUUCCAUUUCUACAGAACGCACAUAAAUAAGUCACUCCCAUCACAUUCUCCUAAAAAUUUCAAGAAACAUUUUUCUUUAAAGGAAAAAGAAAACAGAACAAGAAAGCAAGGCAGUAUGCUGGGCCUAAACAAUUCAAUAGAAAUUUCUGCAGAUACAUGUGACAAAUUUUACUCCUCUGCCCUGUUCCUCUUAUUUUAGUAAUUGAACUCUGAAACUUUGAAAGGAAUUCAGCGGGUUCGUCCACUCUCUCUUUAAAUCUUAGAUUGGCUAAACAACUAAAAAUGGUUAACUAUAAAAAAGGAAGAAAAAUCUAUAUGUAGAUUUUAUGUAGAAAAGUUGAGACAAUCAAUAUAACAAAUAAAAGAUAAAGUACCUGACAUUAGAGAGUUGAGAGUGAAAUGAGAAGCAAAAGUUUUGGUGUGAGAGAGAGAGAGAGAAAGAGAGAGAGAGAGAGAGAGAGAGAUCAUAUCAUGAUGACUUUGUCAUCUAUCUUUAUGCAAGGAAUAUGAGCUAUCUUUCUCCAUUCUUUUCCCUUCUUGUUCUCAUACCUCUUCUUCAGAGAGGGGCAUCUGGUGAUGUUCGGGAAAGAAAUAGAUGCCGGAAAACCCUGUUUUGGCAGGAAGUCGAGACUAUCACACCUUCCAAUAUAUAGCUUUUGAAGAGAAGAGAGAUGUUGAAGUCCAUUUAUGUCCAAAGAUUUCAGACUUGAUAGAUAAGAGAUUGCAAGAGUGUGAAGAGCGGUAAGAAGCAGCUGUUCCUUGAGCAACUUCUUCAACACAUCCUCGCUGCUGAUCUGAAAUCUUUGAAGGGAGACAAGUCGUUGCAAACCCCAGUUCUCCACUGAAGGCCUCAGUUACUCACAAUCUCUGUUAUGAAAUGUUUGUAGGUUGGGAGGCAAACCCCUUUCACCAAAUGACACAAAUUUUGGAAGAUCCCAGGUCCUCAAUUUUUAAGGGUGGUGCAGGCGUGCAUAUGUUUGGGCAAUAUCUUCAUAUUAUCGAUCCCCAGACUCCAAUAUGAAAUUUUUGCUAUCACGUCCCUUUUACAUUGGCCAAUCUUUCAUUGUGCUCCCCAAUCCAUCCCCUCGGUGUCCUGGAGGAAAGACCGAAAAGAUCUUGUAACUUGAAAUGCAGAAAACAGGACAAUUACAAAAUUAUAAUUUGCAUAAUAUGUAUCUUCUACUUACUUUGUGUUAAGAGCCUCAUCGCAGAGGAAAUUUAAAAGCUUAAGGCAUCAUAUCCAUCCCCGCCUCCACUAAAACACUCUGCGGGCAGCUCCUUCAACCUUAGCGACCCUGGAUGCAGAGAUUAGGUUCUCCAAAUCUUGGAACCAUGAUCGGUUGGUGCUUGCUUGCUCAAGAGACCUUAGAGAAAAUAAAGUUGGCGUAAACCACAUGAACUAUUUUCACCAUCAAAGCUUACUAAAGUACUUUAUGCAUAACUAUAAUAUACGAGGUAGAGUGCUUACUAAAGUACUUUAUAGCUAUGAAAUCGAACAAUGGAGUACUGUUCACUUCGUCCACAUCUUCCACGCGAUAGUUCUCGAAGAACAGAGUCAGCUUGGGACGUUUCAAUUUUAAAAAACUAGAGUAAAAAGAAGAAGAAAAAAAUGAGAUAGUACCUAAGAAAAGGUGCACAAAAUCAAUUAAAACAAGUUUAGAGCAACAUUUGAAUCAAAUAUAUGAUACAACUAAAGUAAGAAUUACCUCUCUAAAAGUUUCACAGAAUUUCAAAAUAUUUCCCACAUCCUCGGCAGCUAAUGGUGCCCUGAUGUAGGGGAAGCUCAAGAUCAACCUUUCCGGUCUCAACGCGGUGUUCCUUGACCCUGUGACACCCUCUUGCAGCCUUGCCCUUGGCAUCAUUCUCAUUCACAGCAGCAGCACCAUCUCUGCCGAAUUACAAGUUUCCAUCAACUAGUCCUGCCUUCCUGGAUCGAACUAAUUCACAGAUUCACUCUGAUCAAGGGUGGUCUCCUUCCCUUGUUUGCUAGGUGAAUCAACACAGAUUGCCCGCCAACACUCGAGACCAUAAGCCCUCUUAAACAGAACUAAAACCAACCAACAACAAUAUCAAUAUGCAUUCAAAAAGAAAUCACUAUAAUCAACACCACCACCAUCUCUGCUGCCAAAUUCAACCACUUAAGUCUCAAUAUUCCUGGCCCACUCCUUGACUUUAUGAUGAUUUCUCACUACCUUGCCAUUGACAUCCUUAUUGCUCAUAGCAGCAUUGACAUCCUUAUUGCUCAUAGCAGCAGAACCAUCUCUGCUGCCAUAACAAAUUUCCAUCAGCUCUUCCUGCUCAAGUAACAUGAUGUACUGACUUCCAACAAGCUCAAGCAUGAGGGCAGUGCUCCAAAGAAACCUGGCUCUCAUUUUUGUUUUGUGGUCAUCGUCACCCAUUCUCACUCCAUCAGCUGUGUUUGUGCAAAAACAUAUCUGCACCCAUUCGAACAUGGCAGCAGCAUGAAGAGAAUAUGAAAAGGCAUGCUGCUUUUAUUGAAAAAAAGAAGAGUAUAUGAGUAAAACAUCAUUAGAAGGGUUACCUAUCCAAUUGAAGGAGAAUCAUAUUCAUGCCACACUGCAGGAGAACCAUUCAUGGACAACUAAUUGAUGGAUGUUAAAAUCGUUGGCCUUUGAUAAUUCAAUAUUUACAGUUCAACAGUUUGCUAUCUACAUCAGAGAAGCCGACAAACACGUUAGUGACAUAAUCUUGCCCUGAAAGCAUAGUUGAAUUUCACUGUUAAGAUUUGACUAAUAUAUAAGCCUAAAUGAUUAAAGAAAAAUUCUACAGAUAGAUGUAACAUAUUUACAAAAGCCUUAGGAAUCAUGCCUUCACAUUUGUCCUUACUUUCCCCACUUUAUCAUCGCAAUCAAUCUCUGAAAGUGGGAACAAAAUUUAGACAUGAUUUGACAUGGAAAGAUAGCAAUGUGAAAGUUUUAGUGGGAGCAGAGUAGUAAUCACUUGAGGUGUACCAAGAUGCAAAAUAAUAAGAAAAUUUAGGAACCAGUUUUCCUGAAUUUCUUAUUCCUAAAAUAUUGAGUAAACAACUCUAGUAAACAAAUUCAAAUUUUACUUGUGAUGGAAAAAAAAAAUAUAUAUAUAUAUAUAUAUCAAAGUCCUUCACAAGAAUUAGAGGCAAAGAAAAGCUUGUGUGGAGUUUUACCUUCACGUGGUUUCGCCCACUUCCAUUCGUCAUCAAAUUGAAAAAUUGCUUGUUUCUUCUCAUCGAUAUUGAAUGCAGAUGUCAACUCAAGCGCAUUCCUUUUUCAUACCUUGUCUCAGAAAGAUACCUUAAAUUCAAAGUUGAAGAUACUAUAAAUUAAUGAGUGAUCUAAGAAAACAAGCAUAUAUCUCAGUGGAACCUAAUUAGCACAGCUUCUUCAAAUUAAAUUCCAGUUUGUUACGCGUUCAAGUUUGACAAUCUGGAUCUUUUCCUUAUCUUAAGAUGAAUGUGCAUUCUACCACACUCAAAUCAUAUCAGCAUGAGAAAGGAAAAAAACAUCAUCCAGGGUUACCUCAUAUUCUUGACAGAUAGCCAUGGCAUGAUUCGACAACUAGUAAUUUAUGUAAGCAAACACAUGUUGCCCUUGGAUGAUAUUGUCCUGAAAUUUAAAGGACCAUGUUUUUGUUAGAUUACCGUAGUUGAAUUAAAAAAUUAAAAACUGACUGAUUAACUAAUUAAUUAAACUAAGUAAAAGUAUAGAUGACAGUAAACAAUUGAAGAGAAAGUUUUACAGAAUCUGAACAUAGUGUUAUGCACGUACCAGACUUUGACUUGAGAUCUCAAAUGAUGACUUGAUCAUCGAUCUUGAUGAAAGGAAUGUGAGCUAUCUUGCUCCACUCUUGUCCCGUCUUCUUCUGACACCUCUUCUUCAGGGAAGAACACUUUUCGAUGCUCAGAAAAGAGAGCGAUGCCGGCAAACCCUCUUUUGGCAGGAAUUCGAGACUAUCCCACCACCCAAUUUUGAGCUCUUGAAGAGAAGUGAGGUGUUGAAGUCCCUUUCCCUCCAAAGAUUUCAGGCUUUUCAUUUCACCGAUUGCGAGAGUGUGAAGAGUGGUAGGGAGCAGCUGUUCCUUGAGCACCGUCUCCAACACAUCCUCGCUUCCUGAGCUAUCAAAUGUUCGAAGGGAGACAAUUCGUUGCAAACCCCAGUACUCCACUGAAGGCCUCAGUUUCUCACAACGACUGAUUCGAAAUGAUUGUAGGUUGGGAGGCAAACCCCCUUCUGCAAAUGACUCAACAUUUGGAAGUUCGUGUAAACUCAGGUCUCGAAGGGCGGUGAGGGUGUGUAUUCGGCCGGGCAAUAACUUCAAAUUCUCGCAUCUCUGGACUACAAAUCGAGCCAGUUUGGGAGUGGGCAAUCCCCCGUGGGGAAAAGAGACCAGAUUUGGACAGCAAGAGGUCCAGAGAUCGUCGAGAUGAGUGAGAUUUUCGUCAUCAGCUCCUUCUCCAAUGGCAAGGGAUUCUAGACUUUUACUGCCCCAGAUACUAAGAUAUGAAAGUUUGGGGAAAACGCCCAGCGGGAAGGACCUCAGUGAAUCACAGCUGUAGACCAAAUCCAAAUGUCGAAGGGAUGUCAAUUUGGCCAUCAUCUCAUGAGAUAGGAAUUCUAAUCUCCUGCAUUUUUUUAUUUCAAGAUAUGUCAACGAAGUGGGUAGACCAUUUCUCGGGAACGACAAGAGUGACGCGCAGUUAACGAGCCUCAAACUUCCAAGACAGCUGCUGAAGUGCGGCUGCAAGCAAUCUGGGCGACUAAAAAAUUGAAUCUCAAGAUUCCAAAGCGAGCACAGCGACUCCGUCUCUAGUAACGAAGAGAGACCAGGGCAUCUAACGAUCUUCAGUUGUUUAAGAGAUUGUCGCAAGGACUCCGUGUUGACGAUGAGAGACCAAGGUAUCCAUCUUGUUCUGGUAGCCCUUUCAUGUAGAACCCCGCAGUCUGACACCCGAAGCUUUCUCAAUGAAGGAAGAUGAUCGGGCAAGUUUCCCUUCAGCUUCGGACACUUCCCUAAAAUGAGCACCUCAAGACGAGGAAAGUCAGGAGAUUGACCUCUACCUGGACUCGACAGCCAUUCCUCCCACUCCGGCAUCUCUUUGAACUCUAGCUUCUUGAGAGAUUGAAAUGGUUGACUUAGAGAAGCUCCAUUACCCCCGUAGAACUCGACACCAAUACUCACGACUAAUUUCAUCCUUUCUAUAUAGAGCUCCUUGAGAGCGGGAAGCCGCCCAACCGGUGGCAAUGAGAAGCAAGUACCACAAUCACUAAUACGCAUGACUUGUAUGUUGGCGAAGGAAGAGUCACCCAACCAAUCCGGAAAGCUGGUUCCACCAUAAAAUUUGAUGGUCAGCUUCACCAGAUUUGCAGAAGGUUGUAGGCUUUCAAGUACGUGUCUCUCUUUUAUGGAAUCAUUUGCUUCCUCACGACCCCAUGCCAACUCUACUUCGUUGAGAUCUUUCUUAUCCUUCAAAUUGGCCCCCAAGGCAUCUAUAGGAUUGACGACAUUUUGUAGAUUCAAGAUAGAGAGGUUUCCUCGAAGGUUCGACAAUUGCCCCAAUUCACCAAUGCCACCCGACCUAGUAGAUUCCCCCAACACAAAAGCAGUCAAUGUUCUCAAACUUUUUAGUCUACCCAUUUGCACCGGCAUCUCUUUUAUACAAGUUCCACUAAUAUCAAGAUGACGCAAAUUAAUCAAUUUCCUCAUGUCUGCAGGCAAUUCAACAAGAGAGGAACAACCGACCAACAAUAGAGUUUGCAAAUUGUAGAGAGUACACAUCGUAUCUGGUAACUUUUUAACUGCAGUGUGAGAGAGAUCAAUGUAGCGCAAGUUUAAGUGUUUACCAAUGUUAUCAGGUAAUUGCGUGAUAUUUUUAUAUCUUGACAGUGACAACACCCGUAAACAUUUUAGGGCUGGUAAUAAAUCAUCUAGAACCUUUAUGCUUACAUAAAGGCUCUUAUCCCACUCAUAGUAUGGUCUUAAAGACAUAGGAAAGAAGGUGCGCAAACACUUAAUUUCAUCCAAUGACUUAAAUCUUGCAGCAGUAUCAAAUCUUCCUCUCAUAUAUGACAAAUGCCGAACUUUUUUAGGAACUUCAACAUGUGGCUCUCCAUCCAACCUACAACAAAAUUCUCCAGACACAGACACAGCCAAGUCGUUAAUGAGAUCAUGCAUUGUGAAACUUGAUUUCCAUGAUCUUUGAAGUAGUGAUCGUGACAAUAGUUCAUCCAAGUAUCUCUCACCAAGCUCUUCCAAUCCUUUACCACUCUCAUCUUGUGGAAUUAAACCCACUGCCAUCCAAAGUAGAAUUAUAUAUUCCUUUUCUAAUUCAUAGUCCUUUGGGAAAAUUGAGAGAUAAGCAAAGCAUUGUUUUAAAUAAGUAGGGAGAUAAUGGUAACUCAAUCUUAAAGAUGGAAGAACACUUUUAUCAUGCAGUGUCUCCCAAAGAUUGUUGUUCAAUAUGUGACACCACUCCUUGUAACCUACAUUACAACCUAAGAGACCCCCAAGUGCUUUUGCAGCUAAAGGAAGACCGUUGCACUUGCGUGCAAUUUGCUUACCAAUUUCUUCCAAGUCUGGAUGCGCACUAGGAUUUUCAUUUCUAAAUGCAUGUUUUCUGAGUAACAACCAACAAUCUUCAUGCGACAAUUGUUCCAAAUAGUGAAUAGGACCGGUAUGCACAAUGGAUGCGACACUUUUGUUCCUUGUUGUCACUAUGACCUUACUUCCCCUCGCCCCAUAAGUAAAAGGAGCCCGUACAAGAUCCCAAGCACUAUAGUCGUCAUUCCAAAGGUCAUCCAACACAAAUAGGAACUUUUUCUCCCUCACUUGUUCCCUAAGUUCAACUUGAAGCAAGCUAUCUUGAAAAAUGCAAGGUUUUGAGAUAAUUGAUUCAAUAAGGGUUUUAGUUACCCUCAUAGCAUCAAAAUCUUCGGAAACACAGGCCCAAGCUGUAACAUCAAAAUGCUCUUUUAUAUUUUUAUCAUUGUAAAGGAGCUGAGCAAGGGUUGUCUUACCGACCC
rnacentral:lncRNA from 1 species